rnacentral:rRNA from 1 species
UACGUAGGGACCAAGCGUUGUUCGGAUUUACUGGGCGUAAAGGGCGCGUAGGCGGCAAUUCAAGUCAUCUGUGAAAUCUUCGGGCUUAACUCGGAACGGUCAGAUGAUACUGUUUUGCUAGAGUGCGGAAGGGGCUACUGGAAUUCUCGGUGUAGCGGUGAAAUGCGUAGAUAUCGAGAGGAACACCUGCGGCGAAGGCGGGUAGCUGGGCCGACACUGACGCUGAUGCGCGAAAGCGUGGGGAGCAAACGGG